rnacentral:lncRNA from 1 species
ACAAGAGGAAUUAGUACUGAAAGAUCCGGCAGUGAGAAGCCUUUGAAGCUCACUUCUUAGAGCUGAGCAGGUGCAGUUGUUACAACAGAUAAAAUGAGCUGGCAGAAAGGAAAAAAGGAACUUACAGAAGAAAGCAUAGGAGAUGGGAAGCACAGCCGAAAAAAACGAGAGCGACUAUUUAAGAAAAGAUUUUCUGGAUUGAGUCUCUUCUCUGGGUCUCCUAAGAAUAAACUCCCUCAGGGAAGGAAUCAGAUUUUUGAAGACAAGAGAAGAUGUUUGCACAGGAAAGGUUCCAAAAAGCUGAAGCCAGCACGAGAGGAAAUAUGUUCUUUAAGGCAGCCACACUCUGGGAAAAUGUGUCCGAAGUGUGAAAUCCUUGUCUGCCGAAAAUGUGAGACACUGCAUUCAGAAAGCAGCUUCAUUGCCCACAGCCUGCUCGAUCACUAUGACAGAGGAGGACGUGACAGCUCUAACACAUUGAUUGCAAAAGGCCAGCAAAUACACAGAGUGCCUGGAAGGACUUGCCCAGUGACAAUCAGGAGAGCAGGAAGGUGA